rnacentral:lncRNA from 1 species
GUUGCCCAGAUAGACAACCCAAGAGGGGGGGUGAAUUGGGUUUUAAAAUAAUUUGGCUAAUUAAAACGUUAAGGAUGAUUAAUUAAAACUAGAGCAAGUUAUUUAAUUAAACCUAAGUGCUGUGAGUAAUGAGUGAGGAAGAGAAAAAGAGCCAAUCAUCACAAACACAAGGUUUAUAGUGGUUCGGAGCUAACCCUUGCUCCUACGUCCACUCCCCAAGUCUCACUUGGGUAUUUCACUAUAACCCCCUUGGAUUACAGCCGGUUGUUUUGCAAGCUCACAACCAAACUUGUUGUUUUACGAGCCCACAACGAACUCGGUCGGUUUUCCCAGGCUCACCGACUAGAACCAACCCCGAUUGUUUUUCCGGGCUCACAAUCAAACCCUUACACACGUUGGUU